UACGUAGGGUGCGAGCGUUGUCCGGAAUUACUGGGCGUAAAGAGCUCGUAGGUGGUUUGUCGCGUUGUCCGUGAAAACUCACAGCUCAACUGUGGGCGUGCGGGCGAUACGGGCAGACUGGAGUACUGCAGGGGAGACUGGAAUUCCUGGUGUAGCGGUGGAAUGCGCAGUUAUCAGGAGGAACACCGGUGGCGAAGGCGGGUCUCUGGGCAGUAACUGACGCUGAGGAGCGAAAGCGUGGGGAGCGAACAGG
rnacentral:rRNA from 1 species